UACGUAGGGGGCGAGCGUUGUCCGGAUUUAUUGGGCGUAAAGAGCUCGUAGGCGGUUCCGUGAGUCGGCUGUGAAAUCUCCACGCUCAACGUGGAGGGGUCAGUCGAUACUGCGGUGACUCGAGUCCGGUAGGGGAGUGUGGAAUUCCCGGUGUAGCGGUGAAAUGCGUAGAGAUCCGGAAGAACACCGGAGGCGAAGGCGGCUUGCUGGGCUUGGUCUGACGCUGAGGCGCGAAAGCGUGGGGAGCGAACAGG
rnacentral:rRNA from 1 species